UCACCACUUGAAGGCAGUGAGGUUUAUCUUGCCUCAUGUUUUUAGUCCAUAGUACACUGACUCCAAGUCAGGAUAGCAUGGCACAGGGGCAUAACAGAAGAGAAUCUGCUGGCACCAGCCAUCAUACUGAUGGCCAUCGGCAUGGGGAGAACAGGCAUGGAGGAAGUACAGGCCGGCAUGGGGAGAGCCAGGGUACAAAUGAUGGUCGGAAUGGAGAAAGCAAGAAAGAAGGUUGUAAUCGUGAAAGCAAGAUGGACCCCCAAGGGUACAAAUGAUGGUCGGAAUGGAGAAAGCAAGAAAGAAGGUUGUAAUCGUGAAAGCAAGAUGGACCCCCAAGGUGGACAGCAAGAUGGACAAGAUGGACAGCAAGGCAGAUAAGACAGCUGAUGAUUUUGCUGUCCCAGAACCACCCAAAUGCAAGAAGAGUUGAUGGGACAGUUAGAGGGUAUGUGCUAUAGUGUGAAAUCAGUUCUUUAAUUUUAUUUUUAGAAAGAUUUUGGUAACUAGGUGUCUCAGGGUGGGGUUGGGGUCCAAUGUAUAAGGUCCCCCUGCCCUUAGUGGAGAGCUGGAGCACAGAGACAUUAUGCCUUCAUAUGAAUGAUUGUUCAGAUGCUUUCUUGGGAAGCUGCUUUGGUCCCAGCAAGCAGAGAGCUGGGAAGCUUCUCUUGGCUCUGGGUGAGUUGUCAUGAGGGUAAGUGGAAGACACUUUGGGGGAAAAGGGCCUUAGAGGGCACAAAACUCACUUAAGUUUCUAAGUAGCUUAUAUUUUUUACUAAAACGUCACCUUAUAAACAUCUAUGAAUCAGAUUCUUUUUCUUAGCACUCUGCCAGGCAAUCCCCUUUUUAGGAGUUGUCUUCUGCAAACCCAAUCCAUUGAGCUGUUGGGGAUGUUGGAAAGCAGUUUGGUGCUUUUAAGACAUUUCCAGGGGAGGGAGAUGCCCAAUUCUAAACAAAGUUGAUGCUCAGGUUCUCCAGAUUGUAUCCAGCCCUGAGGCAACCUUCUAGACCCAGCUUCUGAGCUUCUCAGAGCCUCUAUCAUUGAAGAGAAAUGAUGAUCCUGAAGAGGGUUCCAAGAUUGUUUCAGGCCUGAGGUAUUGCUAAACUUAAAAUUAAAAAAAAACCCAACAAGAGCUUUUAAAGUGCCUUCUAUUUGGUUUGGGUUUUUUUGGGUUUGUUUUGUAACUUGCCCCAAUAGAAGUCUUUUGCUGAAAUGACUUUGAUGAUUUUUGUUCUAUCUUGUUUAUAAAAGGAAAAGAAAUACACAAACUUCAAAUUAAAAAAAAAAAAAGAGAAUCUGCUCAUGUAAUGGCAGCUAGUAAGCAAAGAGUGAAGGGAAGAACUAGAAGGAAGAUAUACUAAUCUAGGUAUUUCCACAGUGACCCACUUCUUCUGACCAGAC
rnacentral:lncRNA from 1 species